GACGAACGCUGGCGGCGUGCCUAACACAUGCAAGUCGAGCGAACAGACGAGGAGCUUGCUCCUCUGACGAUAGCGGCGGACGGGUGAGUAACACGUGGAUAACCCACCUAUCAGACUGGGAUAACUUCGGGACACCGGCUCUAACACCGGAUGAUAUAUUGAACCACAUGGUCCAAUAGUGAAAGACGGCUUUGCGGGCUGGUAUAGAUGGAUACGCGCUGCUUGAGCUGGUUGGUAAGGAAACAGCUUACCAAGGCAAGCAUGCGUAGCCGACGGCAGAGGGUGAUCGGCGACACGGGAAGUGAGACACGGACCAGAGUCCUACGGGACGGAGCAGUAGGGAACGGUACGCAGUGGGCGAGAGCCUGACAGAGCAGCGGCGCGUGAGAGACGAAGGUGUCGCGAGCGUAAUGCUCUGUUAUUAGUGAUGAACAAAUGUGUAAGUAGCUAUGCACGUAUUGACGGUACCUGAUCAAGAAGCCACGGCUAACUACGUG
rnacentral:rRNA from 1 species